rnacentral:lncRNA from 1 species
UCAUUUUUAUUUUGCUGGUUUUGUAUUACUUUUCACUUUUACUCUUAACAAGUUGGGUGGUCUUGACUGUAUCCAGAUAGCUGAUUCAGGAAUGAUUCUUGCAUCAGUGAUGAGUCAUUACCUAUCCAUCUGUUAAAAUGGUAAUUAAAUGUUUCAUUACGUAAUUUGGUGCUUAACAUUUUGAGCAUAUUAUAAUUCUCGUCAGGCCAAUUGGCGGUGAACUACUUGGCUAUGGUAAAAGCAAAAUCAUGGAAAGAAAAAUGAGUAAUGGUUUCAUUUUUACACAGGGCUUGGCCUAGGCCAAACCUAUGGUGUUAUUAAACUUUUUGUGGGAGAGAUGAGUACCGUGGUUUAGUGGUUUGUAGCAUGUGUGUGUAUUUUGGAAGAAGGGAUUUAUAACAUAAAUCUAGGCCCAGAAUACCUGGGCCCAGCUCUUGAGCUGACAUCCAGAAGACUGAAUGUACUAAAAAAAUUUUGUGUAGGAAAUAAAUGCUCUCCUAAGAAGCUCUGGUUCACUUUAGCAUUAGUGACUUAGGACUAAAAGUUUGAAAGGGCCCUUAGACAUGAGCUUCCCCAAAGAAGGGGAAGGAGUUUGGGGUCUUAGAAUGUGAUAACCAAAGCUGUUUUGACCCCCUCAUUUUGCUGAUGUCCAAUCUUUGGGAAGCGGGGCCCCAACAGCUUACCAAGGGACUUUGUCUCGGGGAAAAUCCCCAGAGAUGAGAAUGUCUUUUGGCAACCUGGUGCCAAUCCUGAUGUGCCCAGGCUCCUUGGGAGCAAAAAUUAUCCAUAGUGGAGCCAGACUCCCUAGAGCCACCUGCACUAGGCUUCCUCUCCCAAGGACUGUUAAGGAGUCCACAGUGGAAGGUCAGGGUGAGAUGUUAUGUAACUGGUGAGCUGUUCCUCCCCUGGGUGGAAUCAGAGGUAGUAAAGCCAGCUGUGGAAGAAGAAAGGAAGAAUGAAAGUCGAUGUCAGUAGUCAAGGUUGACUCUAGAUCGAUGAUCGCUUUCCUUCUUGGUUUUUAUCGGACUGGCUGAAAGCUCAGAUAGGGGAAGAAUUUGCUCUUAAUUAAAGGCCAGUUACUGCAAUACAUCCACCAAGAAGCCAGGAAUCCAUAAAGCCCCAAACCCUAACCACUGUUUAUUCGCAGUCCUCCAAUUACUGAGUCACCCUGUUGGUGCAAAGGUUAUGGCAACCUCCCCUUCUUCCUGUCCCCCACCAGCUCAGAGGAAGAGCUAACCAUAUAGGAACGCCCAACAAAGUAAAGCAGGGAUACCACACCCUGCCUGACCUUCUUCGAGAAGGUCCUCAGUCCCUCUCAGGGUCCUCAGGGGUCCUGGUUGGGGCGAACUGGCCCCACCAAAGUGUCUGUGUCUCCUCUCUCCAUAGGGUUCCCAGGGUAGUUCUCGAAUUCACGGAACCUCUUGGAGGUGUCUUAUUCCUUUUUUUAAUGAGAGCUUCCAUUGCUGUAGCCAUUAUACCCUUUCCUCAUAAGCACUCUGUGGGGGGUAGUUGUUCCAAGCAAUAGAGCCCUGUGAGUCAGUUGAAAAAACAGACCCAGGGUCACUUGCAGCUUGGGAAGUAUUCAAAGCUAGGCCUGUGUAGCAGACUUCAAAAUGUCACUUCCUUCCUCUGUCCCGUGGUCCGGGCCAGGAAUGACUUUGAAUCUGAGUUGUGUGAUCCUGGCCAUGUGAAUGAAUGAACCUCUCUGAAACUCAGUUUCCUCUUCCAAAUGGAAGCAUUUGGUCUAGGUGAUCUGAGGUCCCUCCCAGCUCUAGAUCCGUGAUCUAAGUUAAAGCUGAUUUGAACAAAAAGGCUGUGGGGGAAGGAGAGGAAGGGGAAGGGAAGGGGGAGGCAGAGUUGAGCUGGCUCAAAGAUGCCAUCUCCCUUCUGAAAGCCAACCCUUAAAGAAAGCACUUCUUAGGGAGGCAGUUGUUGAUUUGUGUCUGACUCGGUGACCCCAUUUGAUUUUCUUUGGCAAAGAUAGUGAAGUGGUUUGCUGUUUCCUCCAAUUCAUUUUGCGGACGAAGAAACGGGCCAGUAGCGUGAAGUGACCUAGGUGGAUAGCCACAUUUGAACUUGGCAAGCUGGGUUUUCUUUGUCUCCAGGCCCGUCCCCAGGGAGACAGGAGGGAAUAGUGAAAAGGACCCUACAUUUGGGUCCCAGCUUUCCCAUUUGCUAGUUUUGUAUUGUUGAGCAAGGUAGUUCAGUUCUACGGGCCUCGGUUUUCCUGUUUCUGUAUGAUUCCAACUCUGAUGUUUGUGAUCUCAGGCAUGUGAUGGCUCAAUGCUUUCUGUAAAUGGGUGGGGCCAUGCCUGUCCUAAAUCAGCCUCAUCUCCAGAUAGUUGACACAAAUCCAAGCUUCAAAUGCAGUGUGGUCUAUGAAAAGUAGGCUCUGCCCAAGGAACCAGGCCAGUAUUUCCUGUUUCGGGGGGGGGGGGGGGCGGCCCAAACCAAAGCCUUUUCGGAAUUCACUGGCGUGCUCUAGGUCACUUUGCUCCUGGAAGCACACGGUUCAACCUUUGCCUUUGCUCUGGAAGCCCCGCCCCAUGCCUCAGGGAUGUACCUUAGGUCCAAUGGGGCUGGAUUCGCAUUUGGCCCCAUGGUCCCAUUUCUCCACCCUUUGUCUCUUAAGACAUUUUGGCUACCUUCUGGCUCCUUUUAAGACCUUCGCGGCUCUUUAUCUCCCUGGUAAAUGCCAGCAAGCUACUGGAGACGCGAUAUGCUCAGAGGAAGACAUCUGAAGCACUUAGCACAUGUGCCUGAACAGAAUGGGCUCUCCUGAAAGAUUGGUUGAAUUGAGCCUACAGGCUCUACUGGAAGUGCUUUGGUUGGGUGACCCCUCCGAGAUCAUACUGGUCCUAGUGGCUGCCUGUUGGACGCACCCCAAACUUCUAAAUUUGACACCCCUUUUUAUUAGACUCUGGGGACUGGCAUUGGAUGAGACUGCCAUGUGACCUGUUUACCACACCCAAAGGCCUGUGGCCAGCCCUCUUCCUGCUGGCAGCUUUUAACAUUGUGGACCACACCCUCUUCUUGGUUUCUGUUCCCCUUGAAAACUUCUGGUCUCCUAGUUCCCUCCUCCUACCCUGCUCUGACGACUUCCUUUCCCUUCACUUGGUUCCACUUCCUCUUCCUGAUUUUUCAAUGUUUCCUCUGAAGCCUGUCUGUAGAAGUCAGGAAAGGUUUAUGGAAGUGCUUACUGUGUGCCAAAUUUUCUCUCUUGAUCCCAGGAAGUAGAUGUUGUGAUUAUCCCCAUUUUAGAGUUGAAGAAACUGAGGUACAAGUUAAGUGACUCCCUAAGGUCAUACAUAGCUAGUAAAUGUCUGUGGCUGAAUUUGGAUUCAGGGUUUUCCAAACUCCUGGCCAGGCACUCCUAUCUACUGUACUCCCUGACUUUCCCUCAGCUUUCUCUUCUUUCCUUACCCGCUUUCCUCUAGUAAGCUCAUUCACUGGCAUGGCUUCAGCUGCCACCUUUUUGUGAUUCUUUAGAAAUCUCCAGGCUUUACUUCUCUUUUGAGCUGCAGACUCACAUCCAACUGUCUCCAGGAUGUGUCUCCUUGAAAACUGAACCAGUCCCUCAAACUUAGCGCAUCCGAAACCAAGCCCGUUAUCUCUCCUGCUUCCAAACCCUCUUCCCCCCUCCUUGUUUUACUGUGUCCAGAUUCCACCCUGGCUUCUGGGUUCAUAACCUUGAUAAUAAUUAUCUUUAUUCUCAUCUGUCUCAUUCUAGUCAUUUGUCAAGACCUGUCAGUUCUAAUUUCCCAAUAUCUCUUCUAUCCAUCUGCACUCUAUUCCCCUUGUCACCUCUACUUCAUUGCCACACACUGGUCCAAUUGCAAGAGCUUCUUUACCUUCCUACCCUCACUCCACCACCUCCUGAAUCAUCUACCUAAUCUGAAUGACUUACGAGUUAUGACCAAAAUGGUCAGUGGCUUUCUUUUGUUUCAAACUCGCUUUUCCCAACAUCCUAGCCCCUGUCGGUCAUGUUCUCACCCCUUUGUGCCUUUGCUUGUAGCAUUCUGUGUUCUGUAAUGGCUACCUUCCUAUCUGAUCUUGGUGAACUCCUCCCUAAACCGUCCCCAAGUCAAAUAAUUCUUCCUCCAUGAUACCUUCCCUGACUAUCUCAGGUGAGAAGGACUUUAUCCCUCAGGCCCCACACCGCAGUAUUUUAUACCGUUGUAACGUACUUUACCAGGACAGCUAGAUGGCACAGUAGGUAAAAGGCCAGGCCUGGAAGAAUCCUCUUGUUGCCUCAGAUACUGACUAGCUAUUUGAUCCUGGGUGAGUCACUGUACCCUGUUACCUCAGUUUCCUCAUCUCUAAAAUGAACUAGAGAAGGAAAUGGCAAACCACUAAAAGAUCUUUGCCAAGAAAGCCCCAGGCGGGGUCAUGACAAGUCAGACACAACUGGAGCAACUGAACAAAUCAUUUAGCGCAUACUAGUGUGCAUUAUUAUUGGACUUGUGUUGUUAGCCCUUUACUGAACUAGAACUAUCCCUAGCUAAAUUUGAAAGUUCUUCCAGUGCCUGCCCCCGUGUGCUGCCUGGUUGGUAAUGAAUGUCUGUUGAUUCGUUGCUCUAUAUUGCUGAGGGAAUCGGCUUCAGAGAGCAUGAGACCACUCCCCAAUCUCAUGGGGCAGUUCUCAUCUUCUCCCCGCCUUUUCAUUUUACAGCUGGUGCUAGAAAGAUAGUAAAGACAAGAGCCAGAACUCCAGGAAGUAAGGAAAGAGCAGGACCCCAUUCCCCCUACCCCCCACAGAGCCAAAAAUCCAGGCCUGGAGUCUUUAGCUAGGACUCCUGAGCCUCUCUGGGCUUCCACAUAAUCUUCAAAGGGACACAGGCCUACUCCGCUGACCUUCAGGCCUGUUAAUGAAGCAAAUGUUUUAGGAAAGUGAGAUAGGAUGUAGUGAGUGCGCCAAUGACAGGUUCCACCUGGUAGCUCCCUACGGGUAGGGACUGCCUUCUGUGUGCUAGGUGGAUGGGUGCAAGUGCAAGAGAUACUGAGAAUCAAAAAGGUGACUUCUGAGUUUAAAGGGGUGAGUGGGACCGUGUAGUGAAUGAGAGUGAAGGAAAAGUCAUGGAUGACUCCAAGAUUAUGAAACUGGUUGAGUGGAAAGAAAGUUCAAAGGAAACAUGGGCUUAAAGGGCGAAGAUGAGUUCUUUUUUGCACAUGUUGAGACUGAGGUGCUUAUAGGAUAUUGGUGCUGUACUAUUAGAACUCAAGAGUGAUGAAGGCUGGAGGUUUAUCUUGGCAAGAUGACGAUUGAAAAUUGAGCUUCUCUGUGGAGGUGGUGAGAUAAACAGGAGAGACGUUAGAAAGACAAGAGAAAGUCUCGGAAGGAUUCGUUGGAGGAUCCCCUCGUGAUAGAGCAGGACAUGGUGGUGAUCUGGCAAAGGACUCAGGAAAUAGAAGACCCAAAAGAGAGCAAUGGCACAAGUGGCAGAGGAGAAAAUAAUACUAAAGAGGGAGGGAGAGGGGAAAUGGUCAGGAGUUUCUAAAGCCACAGAGUGGUCAGUUGGUAAGAGUGAGGGCUGAAGACAGGUCAGUGCAUUGAGCAGUGAAGAGUGAUUCUCCAUGUCCCACACUGUCUUUGCAGGGAAGAGUUUUACUCGAGUGCCGAGUUUGGAAGUUAAAUUGCACGAAGCUGAGGAGCGAGGAAAGGAAGGUGUGGUUUGUUGUUUUUUCUAGAAGAUUGGCUGUGAAAUGUAGAGAUACAUGUAGACCGGUGCCCGUGUUCUCGUUACCUAGGUGCUGGUGAGAUCGGGCAUGGCUGGUCCAGGUUAAUAGGUACAGGAACUCUUCUUCACCCACCAUCACCGUCACCACUUGUCUUUAUCCAAAGGCUUCCAUUUCUCCUUUUCCAGCGAGGGAUGCCUGGCCCUAAGUAGGAAGUGCUAAAGGGCAGGGUCCUUCUGCUUGGGUUUCAAAGUGGGAGCAAUGGGGGCUUACCCUCCGACCCGAUCCAGGCCUGAGCUUUCUUGUUUCCAUGAUGAGGAUUGGCAGGGAAUGACAGAAAGGAGCAGAAUGUAAAUGCAUAAAGAACCCCAGGUUUCCCUUAGGGUCUCCUCUUUGCCGGUCUGCUUGUAACAGGAUGCACCCUUGUUGUGCCCAUAAAGUGCCCCUUCUGCUCUUCUUUACUCGAAUCAAGUUCUUAAUUCUCACUUGUUCAUCCCAGAGGGGCUGGGCCAGGCAGGAGGGGCAAAGCAAACCCAUUCUUCCCCCCUCUCUUCUGCCCAGUGGGUCCUCAGCCAGGGGGGUUCAAAAUUGGGAGCUGCCUGCCAUUACCAUCCCCACCUGCCUUCUGACCUAACUUGGGCUUAUGUGGGAAGCACCAAGAAUAUUGAACUCUUGAGAGAAGUGAGACCUGAGUGGCCACUCUUACCUUUACAGAUUUUCUUUUGGGGAUCUUGGGAAGAGGCCACUGGGAUUUGAAGUCAGAGGACCUCAGAGAGUCAAAGAAGUAAAGAAUUCUGGGAAGACACCUUAGACCCUUCACAUCCAAGUACAAGAUGGGAAAACUGGGGCCCCUAGAAGAGUGACUUGGUCAAAGUCACACAACCAGCCAGCAACAGACUGAAUGCAAAGCCGUACCCUCAGAGGCCAAACUGAGUAUCUCACCAUUGGCACUUCUGGCUGCCUCUGGCAUCUCAUGAAAUGGGUUGCAAAAGACAAAGGUACGCCUCAUGCUAGAGCACUGGGACAUUAGUCAUCCACCCCACUCCUCGGGACCUUGACACCUGAACUCCCGGAGGCGUAUGCCAAAUGAACAAAUGGCCCACAACGGAGAGCUCGGUCGUUGUGCCAAUGUCCAGCAGGCAGGUGCUUCUCUCUUUGUCCUCUCCCCUCAGCUUGCCCCAGUUUCAUCUUCCUCUUUCUGAGACCCCACAAAGCACUGGGGAGUAUUGGAUUGGGUCCUGCUUUUCAUACCUUGGCUCCUUAAUCUCCAGCCCAUCCUCAGACCCUUAAGCACCUGGUUUGCCCCCUCAGCCCGUGUUGACCAAAACCUGGUCAGUAAGCCAGAAUUACCACUUUGAGGGCCUGCCCGAUCCUGGCCCUCGAGAGUAGCCUGAUGCUGUAUCCCUGGGGGACCACAGCCUCUUCUCUCUAACCAGGUAUAAUCUCUGCUGAAGCUACCUAGGCAGGCCUCAGAUUGGAGGCCUGCAUGGUGAAGCCUUAUGGCCACUCUUUAAGCAUACUGAUCCAGCUCAUUCUUUGAGCUCGGGAGUCCCCAGCCCCCUCCAGAAGGGAGGCCACACCUCACCGUCAGCCACCACUUCCCGUUUCUUGAGCCCCGAGCUCUUCCUGAAGUACUUAUUAGCCAGGACUUGCUUCUGCUCUUGAGUUAGUCUUCAGUAGCUUCAUUUUCCAAGCGGGAAGUGGUGGGCUCAGAUGCU